rnacentral:rRNA from 1 species
UAAAUACUCCUGACUGACCGAUAGUGAACCAGUACCGUGAGGGAAAGGCGAAAAGAACCCCGGCGAGGGGAGUGAAAAAGAACCUGAAACCGUGUACGUACAAGCAGUGGGAGCACGCUUAGGCGUGUGACUGCGUACCUUUUGUAUAAUGGGUCAGCGACUUAUAUUCUGUAGCAAGGUUAACCGAAUAGGGGAGCCGAAGGGAAACCGAGUCUUAACUGGGCGUUAAGUUGCAGGGUAUAGACCCGAAACCCGGUGAUCUAGCCAUGGGCAGGUUGAAGGUUGGGUAACACUAACUGGAGGACCGAACCGACUAAUGUUGAAAAAUUAGCGGAUGACUUGUGGCUGGGGGUGAAAGGCCAAUCAAACCGGGAGAUAGCUGGUUCUCCCCGAAAGCUAUUUAGGUAGCGCCUCGUGAAUUCAUCUCCGGGGGUAGAGCACUGUUUCGGCAAGGGGGUCAUCCCGACUUACCAACCCGAUGCAAACUGCGAAUACCGGAGAAUGUUAUCACGGGAGACACACGGCGGGUGCUAACGUCCGUCGUGAAGAGGGAAACAACCCAGACCGCCAGCUAAGGUCCCAAAGUCAUGGUUAAGUGGGAAACGAUGUGGGAAGGCCCAGACAGCCAGGAUGUUGGCUUAGAAGCAGCCAUCAUUUAAAGAAAGCGUAAUAGCUCACUGGUCGAGUCGGCCUGCGCGGAAGAUGUAACGGGGCUAAACCAUGCACCGAAGCUGCGGCAGCGACGCUGAUGCGUUGUUGGGUAGGGGAGCGUUCUGUAAGCCUGCGAAGGUGUGCUGUGAGGCAUGCUGGAGGUAUCAGAAGUGCGAAUGCUGACAUAAGUAACGAUAAAGCGGGUGAAAAGCCCGCUCGCCGGAAGACCAAGGGUUCCUGUCCAACGUUAAUCGGGGCAGGGUGAGUCGACCCCUAAGGCGAGGCCGAAAGGCGUAGUCGAUGGGAAACAGGUUAAUAUUCCUGUACUUGGUGUUACUGCGAAGGGGGGACGGAGAAGGCUAUGUUGGCCGGGCGACGGUUGUCCCGGUUUAAGCGUGUAGGCUGGUUUUCCAGGCAAAUCCGGAAAAUCAAGGCUGAGGCGUGAUGACGAGGCACU